AAAGUUUUAAGUUAACAAUAAACUAAUAAUCUUCAAAAUUAUCAAUAAAAUUAAAUUAUUUUAAGCUUUA
rnacentral:tRNA from 1 species